rfam:Dictyostelium discoideum mitochondrial DNA, complete genome.
CAACACUUGGCGAAAAUGGUAGACGCGAUAGACUUAAAAUCUAUUUCUAUAUAGAGUAUCAGUUCAAGUCUGAUAGUGGAGA